GUCGUCUCACUUUUUGCACACUUUGCCCGAACGCGAGGAUUCCGUUUGUAAAAGUUAAAAAAAUUGUCACAACGUUUCGUUUCUGGCCACUCUGUGUUCUGGACCUCUUCGUUCCUCUGCUGCUGCUGUGUAGCUUCAAGUAAGUGGCAGUGAAUUGCCUACACAUCAGCCAUACUGUUGCAACCGGUCUUUGGCCGCCUCCCAUUCCUUCACGAAUAGAUCGUACUGCCGUUCGCUUUUGCACACGAUGAUCAACGAUUUCGGGCGACAACCGAUCGCCUUCAGCUGCUCCAUCCGCUUCUUCGUCGUCUGUAAACUGUGCAUCAGGAUGCGCGGAUUCAGGGCGAUAUCGUGUGGUGUGUAAUCCAGCUCAUCCAGGCACCGCUUUCCUUGGUGAGCUGCAGUGAUUUUUCCAGCACCACAUCCGGACAGCGCACCAUCCAGGGCAUCAGCUUCUUGCCCCGCACUUGCCUCGUACGCUCAAUCCGUUCUGC